UACGAAGGGGGCUAGCGUUGCUCGGAAUCACUGGGCGUAAAGGGAGCGUAGGCGGGUUCUUAAGUAAGGUGUUUAAUCCCGGGGCCCAACCCCGGACCGGCACUUUAAACUGGGAAUCUUGAAUAGUGGAGAGGUCGGUGGAAUUGGGGGUGUAGCGGUGGAAUGCGUAGAGAUCCCCAAGAACACCAGUUGCGAAGGCGGCCGACUGGACACAUAUUGACGCUGAGGCUCGAAAGCAUGGGGAGCAAACAGG
rnacentral:rRNA from 1 species